rnacentral:tmRNA from 1 species
GGGGGCGAUUAGGAUUCGACGCUGGUAACAAAACUCAAGGUGCAUGUCGUGAUGACAGCCAAUCACGUUAAUCCAAAGCUGUAUUUGAAUAGUCGCAAACGACGAUUCUUACGCUCUAGCAGCUUAAUCGCUUGCUAGCGGUCACCGCCAAGGUGCCAGUACCGCGGUGUUGACUGUCAUAUAGAACUGGAUCGCUGCGUCGUUCAGAUCGUGACGCCGUUGUUAAACUUAAAGCGAACUCGCUUCUAGCACCCUGCCCGCCGGGUCGCCUGAAGUUAAAUCAAUAGACGGAAUCUAAGCAUGUAGAGCCGCGAGCGGAGUACUGACGGACGGGGGUUCAAAUCCCCCCGCCUCCACCA